CUUGACAGAUCCCUUCGGGGUGAAGAUAAGAUGGAUUAGCGGCGGACGGGUGAGUAACACGUGAGUAACCUGCCUUAGACAUUGGGAUAGCCUCGGGAAACCGGGAUUAAUACCAAAUGAAAUCAUAGGUGCCCAUGCACUAAUGAUCAAAACUCCGGUGGUCUAAGAUGGACUCGCGUCCCAUUAGCUAGUUGGUGAGAUAACAGCCCACCAAGGCGACGAUCAGUAGCCGGUCUGAGAGGAUGAACGGCCACAUUGGAACUGAGACACGGUCCAAACUCCUACGGGAGGCAGCAGUGGGGAAUAUUGCACAAUGGGGGAAACCCUGAUGCAGCGACGCCGCGUGAACGAAGAAGGUAUUCGUAUCGUAAAGUUCUGUCCUAUGGGAAGAUAAUGACAGUACCAUAGAAGAAAGCUCCGGCUAAAUACGUGCCAGCAGCCGCGGUAAUACGUAUGGAGCGAGCGUUGUCCGGAAUUAUUGGGCGUAAAGGGUACGCAGGCGGUUUAAUAAGUCGAAUGUUAAAGAUCGGGGCUCAACCCCGUAAAGCAUUGGAAACUGAUAAACUUGAGUAGUGGAGAGGAAAGUGGAAUUCCUAGUGUAGUGGUGAAAUACGUAGAUAUUAGGAGGAAUACCAGUAGCGAAGGCGACUUUCUGGACAACAAACUGACGCUGAGGUACGAAAGCGUGGGGAGCAAACAGGAUUAGAUACCCUGGUAGUCCACGCCGUAAACGAUGGGUACUAGGUGUCGGAGGUUUCAAGACCGUCGGUGCCGCAGUUAACACAAUAAGUACCCCGCCUGGGGAGUACGUCGCAA
rnacentral:rRNA from 1 species